GCUUUAAAAGCGUAUUUAAAGCCCUGGCUGUAGUUGCGGGAGCAGUAGACAACCUAUGCAACAAAAGCUGCUGCAGAGCCGAGAACUGUCCGACCACAUAGCGGACGAAAACACGGAGCCAACGGCUGACACACGGCGAGGUACGACUGCAGGGCUUAAGAUUGCAGCUUGGACCAAACUACAACGUCUCAACGACAUUUAUGAAGCUUUCAAGGCCUUUUGAUUAAACAGGCAGGCUGUGAUGAAGAGAGGUGAAGCGUGGCUGGCACAGUGUGCAGGCAGACUGAUGGCAGAGACCGGGUGAGCUGGCUGGGCAGACAGCUAGAGUGGGCAGGCAGGGAGAAAGGAGCUGCUGCCGGUGAGCUUGAGGAGCUGAAGCUUGAGAGCAGGCGGAGAGAUAGCGACUGGAGAGUCGAGUAGAUGUAUGGCUGGUGAUGAGCUGAUGAGCCACCGGUUUUAGAUGCUGAUCGAAUUGACUGCAGGAAAUGUGAAUGGUGCUACAACUACAAGUGACACACAGAGAGGCAAUAGGACAGGAAAACAAGAGACACAGAAGAAAGGAGACAGGAAGGAGUACAACAAGGGUCAUGACACUGACAGCAGUCUGUGAAAUUAGAUUACACAAUUCCCUGCCCUUUUUAUCUUUCUUUGGAUCACAAAUCCUUAAUCAUAAUAAUGCACAAUAUUAGGCUACUGAUCUUGGAGUAAUAAAAUGCCUGCCUCUUUAUUUUUAUUUAC
ensembl:lncRNA